GGACGAACGCUGGCGGCGUGCCUAACACAUGCAAGUCGAGCGAGGAGAUUCCUUCGGGAUGAUCCUAGCGGCGGACGGGUGAGUAACACGUGGGCAACCUGCCUCAUAGAGAGGAAUAGCCUUCCGAAAGGAGAUUAAUACCUCAUAACAUUGCAGUUUCGCAUGGAACAGCAAUUAAAGGAGUAAUCCGCUAUGAGAUGGGCCCGCGGCGCAUUAGCUAGUUGGUGAGGUAACGGCUCACCAAGGCGACGAUGCGUAGCCGACCUGAGAGGGUGAUCGGCCACAUUGGGACUGAGACACGGCCCAGACUCCUACGGGAGGCAGCAGUGGGGAAUAUUGCACAAUGGGGGAAACCCUGAUGCCAGCAACGCCGCGUGAGUGAUGACGGCCUUCGGGUUGUAAAGCUCUGUCUUCAGGGACGAUAAUGACGGUACCUGAGGAGGAAGCCACGGCUAACUACGUGCCAGCCGCCGC
rnacentral:rRNA from 1 species